GCCCAGCGCCCGGAGCCCGGCCUCGGCACUGCCCCGGCUCCGCGACCCAGGCUGUGCCCCCGGUCAGGCUGUGCCCCUCAUCCCCCUGGGUCAGGCUGUGCCCCUCAUCCCCUUGGGUCAGACUGUGGCCCUCCUCUCCCAUAGCCCCCGGUCAGGCUGUGCCCCUCAUCCCCCUGGGUCAGGCUGUGCCCCUCAUCCCCUUGGGUCAGACUGUGGCCCUCCUCUCCCAUAGCCCCUGGGUCAGGCUGUGCCCCUCAUCCCCCUGGGUCAGGCUGUGCCCCUCAUCCCCCUGGGUCAGGCUGUACUCCUCCUCUCCCAUAGCCCCUGGGUCAGGCUGUGCCCCUCAUCCCCCUGGGUCAGGCUGUGGCCCUCCUCUCCCAUAGCCCCUGGGUCAGGCUGUGGCCCUCCUCUCCCAUAGCCCCUGGGUCAGGCUGUGGCUCUCCUCUCCCAUAGCCCCUGGGUCAGGCUGUGCCCCCCCCCCCCCCAUAUCUACCAGUCAGACUGUGCCCCUCAUCAGACUGUGUCCGUCAUCCCCAAUCAGACUGUGCCCCAACUUCUACAACCCCAUGUCAGACUCUGCUUCCCGUCAGACUGUGCCCCACCACUCCCAUAGCCCCUGGGUCAGACUGUGUCCCCCCCACAUCUACCAGUCAGAUUGUGUCCCUCAUCCCCAAUUAGACUGUGCCCCGACUCCUAUAACCCCAUGUUAGACUGUGUCCCCCACUCCCAUGCCUCCAGUUAGACUGUGCCCCUCUGAUUGUGCUCUUCACCCCCAUACUUGCCAGUCAGAUUGUGUCCCCAUCAGAUUGUGCAUCUCAUCUUGUCAGACUGUGCCCAGACUCCUACAACCCCAUGUCAGACUGUUCCCCCCAUCAGACUGUUCCCCACCACCACUCCCAGGCCCCUUGUCAGACCAUGCCCUGCACUCCCCAUACUCAUGGGCCAGACAGACUCUGCCUCUUCCACAUCCAGGUUCCCUAGCCAGACUGUGCCCCUCACUUCUCACAUGCCCCAACCCCCAUCUGCUCCCGGUCAGACUGUGUCCCCCCCAUCCCUUCACUCCAGCUCCCCCCACCCCCACCCCCCGACUGUGCUUCUCCUCCCUCCAUUCCCCCUCCCAUCUCCACCUUGUUAUAUUUCCUUGAUCAGGCUGCAUCCCCUCAUCUCCUGUGGGGGUGGGGGGGUUGUGAGGGUGCUAGGCUGUCAUUAGGCUCAGUGGCAGCAUUUUGCCCGCUUUAGAAGAACUCUCAUUGCACCUCUGCUAUGGUGCCACCCCAAGGUAGAAGACAUGGAGGCCCCCUUAGGUCAGGGAUAAGAACAGUCCUAGGGGAGUGUUAAUUCUUGUGUCGCAGCUCUUUGGCUUCUCCCUAUAGCUUUGUGAAGUCCUCUAUGUUCCUUGAGGUUUUACAUAUUGUUUUGCUGCCUAGAAAUAACAGGGCAAACAUCCUUUCACCCCUGCUGUUCUCUCCAGAGGGUCAGCACAGUACUGACUGAGAUAUUGGAGGCUUGUUUGUGGUGCAUGGUUUUUUUUCCUGGGGCUGGAGAGCAGAUGUAUCUUGUCAGAGCCAUCUCAUAAAUAGUCUUCAUGUACACCCAGUUCUGGUGAUGACUCUGCCUCUGACAUUGUUGCCCUCUUCUCACAUGUGGGCGUUCUCAUCAUUCUGCUCAAGAUCAUUACACCGGUCCCAGUUCUGAGCUUCUCCUCUUUUAGUGAAGGAUAGUCAUUUGUGAGGGCUAUUUAAUCAUCAUUUCAGCACAUAUGCUGGAGUCUGGUGCUGGAGACCUUGUGUCACUUCUUGAUUUAAAACCAUUGAGACCAAUGGUGCUCUUCUCAGUGUGGGGGAGAUGGUUCUUUAGCUGUGACAAUACAGGAGGAAGUCUACCAAACUGCAAAACCCUGAGCAUUCUGAGCAGAUCCCAGCCACGCUCUGCAAACAGGUGGUUAUAUUUCAGCUGUCAGUCUAUUUUAAAGAUCAAGGACUUUCUAGAUCCUCUAGUACACCUGAAGGGUUGGAUGUUUGAAAUUCUUCCCACAGAAGGCCGGAUGAGCCCUGCAUUCUCUUAAUAGUGCCUGCAGCUGGAAUCCCCUGUGGAUAGGGAGGAAGGAUGCAGAAGUCACACUACUGGAUAUGGCUUUAGUAUCUGUGCAUAGUGGCAAGUAAUAAAAACAAGGACAAAGCCUUUUACAAUACUGGAAUGGGAACCUUCCCCUCCCUAACUGCAAGGCACUUGAGAUACCAAGGUUAUAGGUGCCUUUGCAGCAGUUCAGAUAAAACUGAAUUCUUCCCUACGUCCGUACUUAGUCACUUGCCAUGUUUUACAUCAUUUCCUACGUCAGUGUGGCUGGAAAAAGUCUAAACCAGCUACUUGUGCUAUGUGAACAUAAACAAGGAUUAUAAACAGAAAUUGUCUAUAGCCAUUAAGCCUCCCUUAUUUUAAUCUGCAGAAGACCUUUAACUGCUAAACAAUGUCAAGUUCUCCAAGCAACCCUGAAUAUUACAGCAUUAAGGAUUGCUUCAUUCUGCUGCUUUCUCUCAUUUUAUUUAAUCAUUUCUGCUUCAUCCACUUCCCUUCUACAUGCUGUGUCAGGAUGUCCCAAGGAAGGGGGAGAAGAGCCAGACAAGACUUGUGUGUGGGGAGCCACAGUUGUGGCUAGUUUUAUGAAUAAGUCAGGCAGCCUGGAGAUAAGGAGCUAUUUCUUUUUACAAAGAUAGACUUAAAUUUUCCACUGGGCAUUUUUAGUUAUUGAAUAACAUAGGGCAGGCUACCAAAGGGUUCAGGAGCUCAGUACAACUCACAAAAUGACAGAUGAAUGCUUCCAGUGCACCCUGAGGAUGUAUAUCUCUGCUAACCACACCUUUAGCUGCAGUUGCCUCAAGGCUGUUCUUACAGUUGAUUGUACAGCUAAAUCAUCUGAGGAGUUUAUGGGGUUGUGGCCGGUAGGGGGCCUCUUCACCAUAACAUUGCAAGUGUGAGGCGUUUACAACUAAGCCUGCCAGUCAGUUCCUCUGCAUUUACUUUUUCAUUACAUGUUUGAGUAGCAGCCGUGUUAGUCUGUAUCCGCAAAAAGAAAAGGAGUACUUGUGGCACCUUAGAGACUAACAAAUUUAUUUGAGCAUAAGCUUUUGUGAGCUACAUCGUUGCAUCCGAUGAAGUGAGCUUGCAACCUAAACCAGACAGCUUGAGCACAAAUUUCUAAGAAUGGGGAGCCAGUAACCUACAUGGAUAACAGCACAGGUCAGGUCAAUGCAUCACUCAGCACUGAGCAAGGAGAAUGGAGCUCUUAGUACCUGUUUAAUUGGUGUGACUGUAGCUGUGCCCUUUAAAUCAAGCGUACAUUAGCUGUUACCCAUGCCCUCCACCCGUUAGUUUGUUCAUGUCCUUUAAGCUUCAUCUAUACUGAUGACUUUGGGGAAACAUAUCACUAAUGCGUUGGCCUUGGCACAAGCAAUAAGAACUUGUCUUACUGCUGGAGAUCUGUGAAUGCUGUGUGAGAGCAACAGCUGUUACUUCCUUUAAAAUAAAAAACAGAAACCCACACACACACUUGCAGCUUUUCUCAUUUUUUCUAACUGUAUUUCAGGUUCCAGGAACUAGAGAGCCAACAUUAAACCUUUGUAUAGUUUGAGGACAAAGAUUUACUUAAGACUACAUUGCCGAAAAUUACAUUUUGGAAUAAAUAUACCCUCAAAAGUAGAGACAGUGUACUAAACGCUACUUACACCUGCCUGUAGCUAAUAAUAAAAAUCUAGUUUUUAAAAAAAGCUACCUCAGCCAGUUGCACAGUUUCCUUUUUACCAAAGCCUGCAAUUAACACCAGAUUAUAAAUCAAAAUCUUAAAAGCUUAACCCUACAUCAUCAGUUUAGAAAAGUUAGUAGCAAGUCAUUUCAUAGAGCAGGGUUAAUUUUCUUUCUCUAAUUACAAAUCUAACUUGAUUAUUUCUAAAACAGAAGGUUCUACACCAGGUAUCUAAAAGAAAAUAGAAGUGAGAUAAUGGAUUUUUGUAGUCCCUGUUUCUCUGAAAGUUUAGGCUCUAUAUACAUUACAUAGUAUAGUAGCAGCCACAGAAGUUUCAGAAUGAAAUGAAAUUCAAGCAAAACAUACUCCUCUUUAUCCUUGCUUUAUAAAGAUCUUUUUAGUUUCAACUUUAUUUACUUUAAAUAUUUUAACUUUUCAUAUUAAAUUAUUAGUUUCCCUUUUUCUCCCUGAGAGGUUGCUGGUUCUUGUUUCACUAUAAGAGUUUACGUAGAAGCUUUUGCAGAAGAAUCCUCUGAGGACUUCAGCUUGUUUGUAUGCCCUAAUGGCUAAUUAUAAUAAUGGAUUAACCCAUUGCUUUCAGAUGACAGGGUUUCAGCGUAGCAGCCCUGUUAGUCUAGUUUAGUCUCUCUGCAGUUUCACCCGUGAAACUUAAUGAACUGGGGUCUCUCAAGUACAAAUGUAGUGCCCUGAUCACAGGCCGCCUUCCUCUCCUAUUGUUCACUCACUAUUUCUUAGAAAGACUGUGCAGGAAUGAGGUUUGGGUGGCUGGGAAGAGUCCAUUGCUUUUAAAAUUGCUAUCUCAUGAGGAAGGUCUAUCUGCAUUCUGCUUUUUUGAGAUCUACAGGUCUUAUUUUAAAAAAUGUCUCAGUGAUCAAUAUUUUGGGGUCCCUGGCUAAACCAAUGUUCUCUUCUGCUGGUACUGUGGAUGCAAGUUAACAAAUCAGAGCUAUGUUGAUUUCCCUUGAAGUUGCUGUUGCAGAGAUCAAGGUGUUUUGAGAUGAUCAGAGGUAUUUUGAGCUUUCUGAAAGGGCAUUACAAACAGUGAAAAAUUUAAAAAAAUUUUUUUAAAGGCAAGUUGUAAGUAAAUGAGAAAAAAUGGACUUAAAAGCACAAGUUGAUACAUAAAUACUGAACAGCUUUUGUUAAAAACAGUUGUUACAAAGUAACAGAGAUCAAAAAUUUACAAGAUCCUUUCAAUACUAAGCACAUGUCUGAAUUACACCUUACUCAUGGGUGUAGUCUCAUUGCAGUCAAUAGGACAACUCUGUGGAGUAAAAUGAGCAGGAUUUGGCCCUAAAUCUAUCAGCUACUGAAGAAGGCUGCUGCAAUACUGAAGAAACCCUGGUGUGCAGUGAGGAUGUUACACUGGUCUCCUUGCCCCUCCAGAUACUUAUUGAGGGGAAUCAGAACUCCUGUCUCCCUCCCUCCUUGGGAUAUGACUCUUUUGUCUUUCCUCUAUUCUAGUAGUUCUCAACUUUUUCACGUCACCAUACCAGGACAGGCCCACUGACCCUUCCUUCCCACUUGGCCAAGACAGCCCCGCCUGCUCCAGAAGGGGAAGUGCUGGAUGGUUGUGACUUUGAGGUCAAGAACCCUUGCUCUGUUCCUGGAUGUGCUUUUGUCUUGUGUGUUCAUUAUUCCUGUAUCAAAGGGAGCAUGGAAUGUUCCUGUGAUCAAUGCACUACUCAUUCUAAAAGCAGGCAGAAUGAGAGGAAUGACAGGCAGGCCUGGUGGAAAAAAGCAUUCUUGGGCAAUAAUUUGACUUGCCUCUGAUGAAUGCAUUUUUUUGAGCCCUAGUAAUGCAAUCAUGUUUUAGUGCUGGAGCUUUCCAGAUUUGGUGCUGUAGGAGAACUAAGGUAAUGUUGCCAGGUUGCAGUAUAAUAGAGGCAAUGCAAUUGUGUGUUAGUACUGGAGGUUCUUAUAUGCUUUGAUAGUCAUGUUCCAGAGCUGAAGUUUUCAUGAGAGAGAGAGAGUGCAUUUUGUUGCUGUGCUGCAGCGUUGUAGAGGUAAUGGAGUUCUUGCAAAAGGAAUGUUUUAGCAUGUUAUAUGUAUAGUGUAAGAUGGUCGAAGAUACAACAUAUCUCAUGUCUGAUCUAAGUCUACAUAGCUCACACUAAAGGAUUAGGACCCUUUUAAAUCUCUCUUCUAUACACUAGUGUUCAGAUAACAUUUAAGCCACUGUUUUUGGCUUUAGACAUGUCUCUACAUGGAUUUGAGCUCUUAUCUUUCAGCUUUGCUGUAGCUGCUGGGUUGAUCUGAACUUUAUGUACAUAUAUCCUCUGAUAAAUGUGUUUUGGAAAGAUGCUUGGAGCCUGUGGAAGGUAUAAAAGGGUUUAAGCAGUAGCACUACCAGGAGUUGUUCAGCUACUAACUCAUCCUGUGUCAGGCUGUGGUGAUGUGCUUUUUAUUCUCUUUGUUGUAAGAGGCUGACCGGAGUAUUCAUCUAUUUUAAUGGCUUUGCUGGAAGCUCUCUGACUGGGCUUGUCUUAUGAGGGAGCUGAGUGACUGAUGUGUUGGCAUGUAAGUUUUCCUUUCCCAUACAGAUGCAACAUUUCCCAUAUUUCCUGACUGUUAAUCUAUUCCCAUCUUAUUUAAGAGCGCUGUCCCUCUGUGUUGGCGGGAGAGUGUCUUCCGCCAACAUAGUGCUGUCCACACCAGCACUUUUGUCGAUGAAACUUUUGUAAGUCGGGGAUGUGUUGUUGUUUUUUUCACACUUCUGACCAACAAAAGUUUUACCGACAAAAGUGUUAGUGUAGACAAAGCCUAAGUGACUUGUUCAAGAGGUACAAUGUGGGUGAGAUAAUAGCUCUUAUUGGACCAACUUGUGUUGGUGAGAGAGACAAGCUUUCGAGCUGCACAGAGCUCUUUUCAGGUCUGGCAUGGCAUUCUGAGUGUCAAAGCUAAAUGCAAGGUGGAACAGAUUGUUUCGCAUAAAUAGUUAGCACACAUUGUAAAAAGAAAAGGAGUACUU